GGGGUUGUGGCUCAGUGAAAGAGCACUUGCCUAGCACAUGCAAGGCCCUGGGUUCAAUCCUCAGCACCACA
rnacentral:tRNA from 1 species